UGUUGCUGUGACCAGGGAGCCGCCUCCUCCUCGUCUCCUUCCUUCCGCAUUCCCUCUUCGCCUGUUAUUUGCCUCUGCCUCGGCUCGCUCCACCCGGCAGAAGCAUGGCUGCUAACAAAGUGAUAGUUUACGGCGGAAGAGGCGCGCUGGGCUCCAAGUGUGUGGAGCAUUUCAAAUCCAAAGGAUGGUGGGUGGCCAAUAUCGACAUGAGUGCUAAUGAGGAGGCUAACGAGAACGUGAUUGUCAAGUUGACUGACUCCUUCUGCGAGCAGGCGGGCCAGGUCACAGCAGAUGUCUCCCAGCUGCUCGGCGAGCAGAAGGUGGACGCCAUUUUGUGCGUGGCUGGCGGAUGGGCGGGAGGAAACUGCAGUUCCAAAGACUUGUACAAGAACACGGAUCUGAUGUGGAAACAAAGCGUGUGGACCUCCACCAUCUCCAGCCACCUGGCGGCUGUGCACCUGAAACCGGGAGGUCUGUUGACUUUGGCUGGGGCCAAAGCCGCUCUGUCGGGGACCGGAGGCAUGAUUGGCUACGGGAUGUCUAAGGCCGCUGUGCACCAGCUAUGUCAGAGUCUGGCCGUCAAAAACAGCGGGAUGCCUUCAGGGGCCGCUGCGGUGGCCAUUUUGCCGGUUACCUUGGAUACACCCAUGAACAGGAAGUUCAUGCCGGACGCUGAUUUUGGCACGUGGACACCUCUGGAGUAUGUUGCAGAAAUGUUCCUCAAGUGGGCCAUGGGCGUCAACAGGCCAGCGUCGGGCAGCCUGAUGCAGCUGGUCACCUGUGGUGGGGAAACUCAGGCCGUGGCAGCGCCCUAGAGGACAGACGGAAGGACGGACGGAUGGGGAUGUGGCGAGAAGAUAACGAUGGAGAAGCGAUAGAAGGCUCACAGGGUCAUGGAGUUUGAAGGCAAGCGAGGAGAGAGGAAAAAAAACAAAAGGGAGUGGCCUUCCUGUAAUGAAGACUGCAAGACCACAUUACAGACUACUCAAUGAGGUAAAAACACCAAAAACAAAAAACAACCUAGAGUGUCAGCUGAAGACUUACAGAAAUCACUGGCUGAAGACUUACAGAAAUCACUGGCAGAGUCUACCUUACGUAAAACAUUAAACAAGAGUGUGGUUCAUGGGAGAACACCAAAGAGGUAGCUGUUGCUGUCUAAAAAACAUUGAUCCAUGUUUUAAAUUUGCUAAAGAGCACUUGGAUGUCCCAUAGCACCAUUGGCAAAAUAUUCUUUGGAUGGAUGAAACCAAAGCCCAAUUAUUUGGGAGGAACACACAAACGCCAUGUGUGGAGGAAAAAUGGCACAGCACACCAACAUCAAAUCCUUAUCCCAAGUGUGAAGCAUGGUCGAUGGAGCAUCAUGGUAUGGUCGUGCUUUGCUCCCUCAGGGCCUGGACAGCUUGCUAUCAUCAAUGUAAACAUUAACUCACAAGUUUAUCAAGAUCAUUUGCAGAAGAACUUGAGACCAUCUGUCCAACAGUUGAAUCUCAAAAGAGGAUGUAAGAAGUCCAAAAUGAAUCCUGAUUGUUGUGCACGUCUGAUCUGCUACAACAGGCAACGUUUGGUUGAGCUUAUGAAUGUUUACAUUUUAUAUGAACAUGACAUUAAAUGAGGCUACUUUGAAAUCUUGUGAGCAUUUUGUAAACUUGCAUCCCCUGCCUUGAACAUGAGUUUGAAUGUGAUUGGUUAAGUUUUUCACACAACCACAUGCCCAGUUAUGAGGAUGUGCGUAUUUCGGCAACCACAUUAUCGCAGUUGUUUUUUUGUUUGUUUGCUUGUUUUUUUAAUUCCCCGCUCUAAAAUAUUUCAUGUUUGUUUUUUUUCUUUUCAAUCAAAUUGUAUUGGUUGUAAGUCACGUUAAUGUUAAAGGUUUUGACAUUUAUCCUAUCCUAAAUUAUUAAACCUGGGAUUUGAACAGGGGUGUGUAGACUUUGUGCAUCCACUAUAUAUUAUACCUUACACCUGUGGCUGGG